rnacentral:rRNA from 1 species
CAGCCGCCGCGGGAAUACGAAGGGUGCAAGCGCUACUCGGAAUUACUGGGCGUAAAGCGUGCGUAGGUGGCGGUUUAAGUCCGUUGUGAAAGCCCUGGGCUCAACCUGGGAAUUGCAGUGGAUACUGGGUCACUAGAGUGUGGUAGAGGAUAGUGGAAUUUCCGGUGUAGCAGUGAAAUGCGUAGAGAUCGGAAGGAACAUCUGUGGCGAAGGCGACUAUCUGGGACAACACUGACGCUGAAGCACGAAAGCGUGAGGAGCAAACAGGAUUAGAUACCCCAGUAGUCCCUGUCUCUUAUAC